AGGCGUGUAGCUCAACGGGUAGAGCAACGGUCUCCAAAACCGUAGGUUGCGGGUUCAAGUCCUGCCACGCCUGCCA
rnacentral:tRNA from 1 species